UUUUUCAUUACUACUUCAGGCAGCAACGGAAUAAGACGUGUGUGCGGAACGUGAAAAAUAAAAACAAGCAAGAAAUACUCUACUUAUAUUUCAGUUGUAAACAAAAAACCAAGCGGAAAGCGAAAAUCAAAACCGAGAAAAUUUAUAAAUGAACACACGUGUGAAUUCUUGCCAUUAAAAUGAACAAACAUAAAUUAAUUGCCAACGAUGACAAUGUAAUUUAAAUGUUUUCGUGCAACAUUUAACAAAUAAUACCAAAAUUCAACGGUAGAUAAAUUGGAGUGUGUGCGAUUUUUUGUUUAAGAAAGAGUUUUACGCUUUCAGGAUCUCAACCUACAUCAACAAAACGCGUUUUAUAUUUUUUAUCAAAUCAAAUUUACAUAAUAUUUGAUU